rnacentral:lncRNA from 1 species
AAACAAAACCUUCUAAUAUUAAUAAAUAUAUCAUGUAAUUUCUCAUCCAUGUUUUCCAUCAAAUAUACAUUAUCCUCCUAGAACAACUACCGUUGAAAUUGUGGUUGAAUUGGAAAGCCUUGGUCACCCUCAAUCUCACCAAGCAUUCAGAACAGGACACCAACCAAAUUGCAUGACCAUGGACAGUUCUAGCAGUGCUGAAUUAUUAUUUACAUCUCACAACUGAACUAUCAUUAGGUGAGAAAAGUUCAAAAAAAAAGUGUGCCUAAACUUAAGAAACAUAUCAACAUGGGCAGCGUCUUCCUAUGCUUGGAGUACUUCUAGUGGAUUAGAUGUUCCCUCGCGGCACAAAAGCGCAUGACCUUCCGCAUCCUCGCCGACCUGAACUGCAUCUCCGACACCUGAGCACAGGCAAUGGAGGCUAAAGUCAAAGUUGCUAGAGUAAAUUUAAGUCUUCGACACCUGAACCAUGUACUUUCUAGAGGCUGGGGCGCGCCAUGGCGUGCCUCCUGAGGUGGGAUGGUGUGGUGCCAGGUAGGUGACCACACUUUUCAACUACUUUUUGACAGUGUGGCUAGCACAUGUAUAGGGGAGUGUUUCUGAAGUCAUUUUACUGAGAUGACGAGCAAUAUCUUAACACUAUCUACCAGAUGCUCCUCUCCAUGCAUGUUGUAUUGCAGCGUGGGACUUGCCACUACAGUUCAUGUAUGCAUAGAGUCUGCAAUGAAUUUGUACACCUUUACAUCCACCCCCACAUCCCUAUCGCCCUCCGCCAACCCCACGAGUCGACGCUCGCCUUCAUCAUUGCCUGCUCAACGGGGUGUGGAACCGGAACGCUGGCGUCUUGUCGGCUGAGAACGCCGGCGUCUAGAGACAGUUUCAUUCGCUGAUUAAGUAGCAUCCAAAUUAAAGGGAAGAGGAUGUGAGCAUCAAGUAGGUCAGAACAUAUCCUCCAAUACACAUAUUCACUUAUUUUCUUCAGCAGAGAUAUGUUUCUCCAUAUGACAUGAAUAUAUGAUUAAAUAAUAUGAGAUCGAGGACAAUGUAUAUCUAGUGUUCAAUGACUUACCUGACUGGAAGGUCAAUGAACUGUACCACCAAACCCCAUUGCCAUGUAGUUUGUAGCAUCUUGACUCUUUCCCAUGAUAUUAAGAAAGCUCGAUGCCAAGAUUAGAUAACAUCAAAGAACUAUUUUUUAUCAGGCUUGAUUCCAUGAUCCAGAAUAUCUGAACAUUAUAAGACAGUGUAGAAAAUGUGUUCUUGGGAAUACAAGACACAUAUUUUACAAAAAAAAAAUGAAAGCUACAAAAUUGGCACCCAAAACGAACUUCUCCCAUCAGCUCGGCUAUCACAGGCCUUGGCAUGAUGGAAUUAAAGUGUGGGGUGGCAUCAGAUGGCAUCAUCAGCCCACAUGUUCCAAGCAAUGCAGCCGUGCAGAGUGAACACAACAUACUGGAUUUACCUCCACCAUUUGGACCACUGAGAACAAAAAAAGAGCGCAUGUUGACAUUGUUCAGUAUUGCAUUCCUUCGAUUAGUAUCAAGCCAGUAAGUAAAGAGUCUUAAUGAAUCCAUUUCGCUUGAUCUUUCUUUUGUGCUAUAGUCCUUCAUAAACAAUCCACACUCAAGUAGUCAAGUUUACAAGAUCGUAAGAAUUAGUAAAUAUGUUAGUGAUAGAGAAGAUAUUGGAACAUUUAUGUUCAUCAGAAAGGAACAUUUCAUCUGGCAGCUGUGUUGCUUGGUAAAUAACACAUGUAUACAAAAUUGAUGUUUUUGGUCCAACAAAACUAUGUUGAACCCUUCUUGAUCAAAAUUAAAUCAAGAUUAAGUGUACGACUCUAUACCUGACAUCUAACAAUACUGCAACACCACAACACAAAUUCAAAUUAGCAAAAAAUUAAUCCAGCUCAAGAAAUGUUGUUCCACUGAAUCAACAAGACCCACGAGCUACAGGUUUGGUUCCAGUGCACUAUUUGAAUUUCUCGUGCAUGAUGCCCUGGUUCUACUUCAGUCCGCUGUAUCCAUGUUAUUUGUAGCAAACAACAAUAGGGUUAAUUCCUCGCUCGCAAAGCUAGUAAUAAGGGACUGCGUUAUUAUGAGGGCAGAUUAAUAUUUGAAUAUUUUGAUGCCGGCACUGAUUGCUUGCUACAAAACUGCAAACCAUUGAGAUGGCAAAUUACACACAAGAAGGGAAACUCACCGGAUAUUGAACCACCCAGUGUCAGUCAGGGCUUCUAAGGUCGUUAUAAAACAAUAUAAAUUUCAGAACCAAAACAAUGCAUGACCCAUCAGAUAUUAUAAGCACCAGAUCAGUUAAAGAGAAAAGGGCAUGGAAUCCUAAGCUCGAGAGAAAAUUCCAGUAUAAACUGUAGGUACCACAAACUCAACCAAUAUAAAUUUCAGAACCAAAACAAUGCAUGACCCAUCAGAUAUUAUAAGCACCAGAUCAGUUAAAGAGAAAAGGGCAUGGAAUCCUGAGCUCGAGAGAAAAUUCCAGUAUAAACUGUAGGUACCACAAACUCAACCAAUACUACUAAAAUAAUAUAGGAGAAUCAUGUGGAUAUGAAAAUCAAUGGGACAUUCUCAUUCCACAAACUGGCGGCCAGGGGCCGCUACCGCAGAGGCUAGAGUUUUUUUCGUGAAUAUGCAAAAUAUUUGCAUAUCAUUGUAUUGAUGGGGGGACGCAGACGCCCAGUUCGUCGGUGGGUAUCGUGAAGAGGAAGGAGACGACGGUCAGGCGGGGGUAGAUGUAGAGGGACAAGAAGAGCACCUUUAGCACCGCUCCUGCCCGAUCUCCGCCGUAUUGCCGUCGUUGGAGACUUAGUAGCCGCCGAUCCAGUGCCUCCGACCACUUCAUCGUCCCGUCAACACCAAGUCUGGUCACCGCCGCGACUACCCACCCGGUCAUCCACUAGUCCGCUAGAUGGACGUGAAGACAGAUGAGAAGUGCAGGGGAAGAAGGAUUGAGGAACUCGUCGCUUACUCACCGACGUCGUCCCUGGGAUCCAGAUCUGGCGAAGAAAUCAAGUGUCCCCCUCCCCCAGGGCCGUAUGGAAGAGCAGCAUCACUGGUGGCGGCGACUAUGGGGAGGGCGCCGGUGGUGGCGGCGACUAUGGGGAGGGCGCCGGUGGUGGCGGCAGCGACAGACGAGGGAAAGGGAGAUGGAGAGGAAUCGGGGGAUGGGGGACUGGGGGAUGGGCCGCUGGCCCAUCUCUUUCUUUCUUUCUUCUCGAGGAAGUGAACCUUGUUGUGUCGUAGCUAAUCCGACGUGGACAUCACGAGCGUUCGCCCUUCACGCGUAGCUUAUUGUAUUGGAUUCGAGCUCCAUCUUGCGGUCCUU